rnacentral:rRNA from 1 species
UAAUACGGAGGAUCCAAGCGUUAUCCGGAAUCAUUGGGUUUAAAGGGUCCGUAGGCGGAUUAGUAAGUCAGGGGUGAAAGUUUGCGGCUUAACCGUAAAAUUGCCUUUGAUACUGCUAGUCUUGAAUAAUUAUGAAGUAGCUAGAAUAUGUAGUGUAGCGGUGAAAUGCUUAGAUAUUACAUGGAAUACCGAUUGCGAAGGCAGGUUACUAAUAAUUUAUUGACGCUGAUGGACGAAAGCGUGGGGAGCGAACAGG